GCACGGUGGUUCAAUGGGAAAAUUCUCACCUUCCAAGAGGGAGGCCUGGGUUCAAUUCCCAGCCAGUGCU
rnacentral:tRNA from 1 species